rnacentral:sRNA from 1 species
CCUACUCCCGCCUUACCUGACUUCCUUUUCGGAGGAAGAUCCUUGAGCAGCCGACGUUGGGACAAAGGAUUUGGAGAAACCCAGGGCUAAAGUCACGUUUUUCCUCCUUUAAGACUUACCUCAACACUUCACUCCAUGGCAGUUCCCGAGACCCGCCCUAACCACACUAUUUAUAUCAACAACCUCAAUGAGAAGAUCAAGAAGGAUGAGCUAAAAAAGUCCCUGUACGCCAUCUUCUCCCAGUUUGGCCAGAUCCUGGAUAUCCUGGUAUCACGGAGCCUGAAGAUGAGGGGCCAGGCCUUUGUCAUCUUCAAGGAGGUCAGCAGCGCCACCAACGCCCUGCGCUCCAUGCAGGGUUUCCCUUUCUAUGACAAGCCUAUGCGUAUCCAGUAUGCCAAGACCGACUCAGAUAUCAUUGCCAAGAUGAAAGGCACCUUCGUGGAGCGGGACCGCAAGCGGGAGAAGAGGAAGCCCAAGAGCCAGGAGACCCCGGCCACCAAGAAGGCUGUGCAAGGCGGGGGAGCCGCCCCCGUGGUGGGGGCUGUCCAGGGGCCUGUCCCGGGCAUGCCGCCGAUGACUCAGGCGCCCCGCAUUAUGCACCACAUGCCGGGCCAGCCGCCCUACAUGCCGCCCCCUGGUAUGAUCCCCCCGCCAGGCCUUGCACCUGGCCAGAUCCCACCAGGGGCCAUGCCCCCGCAGCAGCUUAUGCCAGGACAGAUGCCCCCUGCCCAGCCUGUGAGUAUCUAGUCCCACCCACCAGGUCUCAUAUAAAUAGUGAGAAUACAGGACUAGAAAGGGACCAGUUGGGGGGCUGCUGUAGGUUGGGUGGUCUGGGCAGGCCCCCUGAGGAGGUGGUACUGAAUGAGGAAGUAGCAGUGGGGGUGGGCCCUGGGCAGAGGAAUUGGCAUGCUGGUUGGAGGGUACGGAAGGUUAGGGUAGGCUGGAGUGGUGC